rnacentral:rRNA from 1 species
AAACAUCUUUUCUUGUUAAUUUUUAUGAAGUAUGUCCUGCCCACUGAGACUUAAAUGGCCGCAGUAUUUUGACUGUGCGAAGGUAGCAUAAUCAUUAGUUUAUUAAUUGUUAACUUGUAUGAAUGGUUUGACGAAAUAUUGACUGUCUCUUGAGUAUUAUUAUAAUUUGAAUUUUAAGUUAAAAUGCUUAAUUAUUAUUAUGGGACGAGAAGACCCUAUAGAUCUUUAAUAAUUAAUUUAAUAUGUUGUUUAGAUUUUAUAUUUAUAUUGUUUAUAUUAUUUUUGUUGGGGUGACAUUAAGAUAUAUUUAACUCUUAAUUAUUAUUAUCAUUUAUUUUUGUUAUAUUGAUUUAUGUUAUUAUUAUAAGAUAAAGAUACCUUAGGGAUAACAGCGUAAUUUUUUUUUAGAGUUCUUAUCAACAAUUAAGAUUGCGACCUCGAUGUUGGAUUAAGAUAAUUUUUGGGUGUAGAUGCUAAAUUGAGUAGGUCUGUUCGACCUUUAAUAUCUUACAUGAUCUGA